rnacentral:tRNA from 1 species
GGGGAUUUAGCUCAGUGGUAGAGCGCUUGCCUAGCAAACGCAGGGCCCUGGGUUCAGUCCCCA